UCUUGGAGGUGUUCAAGAUGAGGCUGUAUAAGCACCUUGUUGAGUUCAUUUAAGCCCAAUAACUUUCUGCCCAUGAUCUUGCAGGAGAAUAUACUUUUUGAUG